rnacentral:snRNA from 1 species
CAAUGUGAGGAUAAUCUGGCUGCGACAUGUGUCACCCCACUGAUCGCCAGGGUUGAUUUGACUGAUCUGGCUGAUUAGGCAGGUGUCCCCUUCCUCCCUCACCACUCCAUGUGUGUCCCUUCUGAAGCUGUGUGCUCGGUCAAAGAGGAUGACCUUCCCCACUAGAGGAGGACUGUUCUUCGGUCAAGGGUAUACGAGUAGCUGCACACCCCUGCUAGAACCUCCAAACAAGCUCCCAAAGGGCCUUCGUCAAAAGAUUCAAAGCUGGAAGCUUAAAGGCAGUAAACAUGGCUAAAACCACUCAGGUCUU